GGGACUAAUGUUAAUAUUUUCUUUUUAAUCUCUGUCAGGGAGUAAAGGGAAGUGUACGGCAGUAGCAUGUCUCAUUUUAAAAGGGAAAACAAGUACACUGCUGGCUUCCACAUGAUCUGCAUGUUAAAGCAAGAAAGUUACUAAGUAGUAGGAAAAAUAGGUAAUGAGUGUGCCUGGAAUCUGGAGGGCUGAAGGGCAUGGCUGAGCAUGCCAAGGACAGGGACGACAUUUGGGUUAUUUGGGUGAAGUGGAGGUGAGUGCCCUGAGCUGAGCGCAGCUGCUCUGGUACGGCCACAGAUCUGUCACCCUGGAGCCUGAGCAGCUCGUCUCAGUCCGGAGAGGCAGAAAUAAACUCUAGGGACCAGGACUGUGCCAGUAUUUAUUAUUUUUCUCCAAGGCACUGCAGCAUGGCAGAAGCCUCUGUCUCUCCACUGAAGCACUUUGUGCUGGCCAAAAAGACCAUCACUGCCAUCUUCGACCAGCUGCUGGAGUAUGUCACUGAGGGAGCAGCGUUUGUGGAAGCCACGUACAAGAACCCAGAGCUUGAUCAUAUAGCAACUGAAGAUGAACUAGCAAAAAUACAAGCAUAUAAAAACAAGUUGGCAGUCAUUGGAGAGGUGCUUUCACGGAGACACAUGAAAGUGGCUUUUUUUGGCAGAACAAGCAGUGGGAAAAGUUCAGUCAUUAAUGCCAUGCUGUGGGACAAGGUACUUCCCAGUGGGAUUGGCCAUACAACAAACUGCUUCCUCAGUGUGGAAGGGACUGAUGGAGAUAAGGCUUAUCUUAUGACAGAAGGAUCAGAUGAAAAGAAGAGUGUCAAGACAGUCAAUCAGCUGGCUCACGCACUUCACAUGGAUAAAGAUUUGAAGGCUGGCUGUCUCGUCCAUGUCUUUUGGCCCAAGUCAAAGUGUGCCCUGCUGAGAGAUGAUUUGGUUAUAGUGGACAGUCCUGGCACAGAUGUCACUACAGAACUGGACAGCUGGAUUGACAAGUUCUGCUUAGAUGCUGAUGUGUUUGUCUUGGUUGCCAAUUCUGAAUCAACUCUCAUGAACACGGAGAAACACUUUUUCCAUAAAGUGAACGAACGACUUUCCAAGCCAAACAUCUUCAUCCUCAAUAACAGAUGGGAUGCUUCUGCAUCAGAACCAGAAUACAUGGAAGAUGUGCGUAGGCAGCACAUGGAGCGCUGUCUGACGUUCCUGGUCGAUGAGCUCAAAGUUAUUGAUCCUGUAGAAGCAAGGAAUCGCAUCUUUUUUGUUUCAGCAAAAGAAGUUCUGAGUGCCAGGAGACAAAAGGCUCAAGGAAUGCCAGAGAGUGGUGGAGCACUUGCUGAAGGAUUUCAAACAAGAUUCCAAGAAUUUCAGCAUUUUGAGCAGAUAUUUGAGGAGUGUAUCUCGCAGUCAGCCGUGAAAACCAAGUUUGAACAGCACACUAUCAGAGCUAAACAGAUAAUAGAUACUGUGAAAAACAUUAUGGACACCAUAAACGUUGCAGCAGCAGAGAAAAGAGUCCACUCCAUGGAAGAGCGAGAAGAUCAGAAGGACAGGCUGGACUUUGUUAGAAAUCAGCUGAACAUUUUGACAGAAGACACCAAGGAAAAAAUCAAACGCGUUACCGAGGAAGUCGAAAGCAAAGUCUCCUCUGCCAUGACUGAUGAGAUUUGCCGGCUUUCAGUUUUAGUUGAUGAAUUUUAUUCUGAUUUUCACCCUUCUCCUCAAGUAUUGAAGCUCUAUAAGGCAGAACUGAACAAACAUAUAGAAGACGGUUUGGGAAAGAACCUGGCUGAGCGCUGCUCCAGUGAAGUCAACCAGUCAAUGCACCAGUCCCAGCAGGAGAUGAUUGAAAAUCUGAAACCAUUGUUGCCUUCUAGUGUUCAGGAUCAGCUCCACUUGCUAAUUCCAUGCAGGAAGUUUGAUCUUAGCUAUGAUCUAAACUGUCAUAGCCUCUGUGCAGAUUUUCAAGAGGAUAUCAUGUUCCACUUUUCUUUGGGAUGGACUUCUCUUGUAAACCGUUUCUUGGGUCCUAAACAAGCUCAGAAAGUACUCCUGGGAUUAGCAGAUCCAAACCUACAUAUCCCUCGUCCUUUAGCCAGCACCCCGUCUGCCGCCAGCCUUCCCGCCAUAACUCCUGAGAACAUGCCCCAGGAUGAGUUCAUGGUUCCUUUGGUGUUGAGUUUAGCCUCGCUGACAUCCCGGACCUCCAUGAGCAUCAUCAUUGUUGGUGGAGUGGUUUGGAAAACCGUAGGCUGGAAACUGAUCUCAUUGUCCCUGAGCAUGUAUGGGCUGCUGUACCUGUAUGAGAGGCUGACCUGGACCACUCGGGCCAAGGAGAGAGCCUUCAAGCAGCAGUUUGUGAACUACGCCACCGAGAAGCUGCAGAUGAUCGUCAGCCUCACCAGCGCCAACUGCAGCCACCAGGUGCAGCAGGAAAUGGCCACUACUUUUGCUCGGCUCUGUCAGCAGGUGGAUAUUACUGAGAAAAACCUGGAAAAAGAAAUAGCUAGGCUUUCCAAAGAAAUAGAUCAGCUGGAGCACAUACAAAGCACCUCCAAGCAGCUGAGAAAUAAAGCCAUUCACCUUGAGAACGAACUAGAUCGCUUCACAAAACAUUUUCUUCAAAAGAGUAAAUAAAACAUCAUUGUGAACCCUUCCGGUGCUCCUUUGUAGGGCAAAGUAGAAAUUUUACAGGUGACACUUCUAUUCUAUGAAAAUGAUUUAUAUUUUUAAUGUUACUUUGGUGACAGUUGUUGUAAAACUUGGACUCUGAUGGUGAACCAAACGGUAGAGCUGUGGUACUCUUGAGUGUUAUGUUCAUUUUGCAGAUUUUGGGUUAAAAAUUACCUUUAAACACUAAAUUUUUUGGGCACUUGACAAUAAAACCCCAAAUCCUCACUGGUUUUCAUGAGUAUGUAGCAGUGGCAAGUCUCACUUCCUGGCAUCCAGGACCUUAGACAGGGAAAGAGCUUAGCCCAGUCUCCUGCUUUCAGCUGCUUAGGAAUUGUCCAGGGAUGGAGGGUGCUCGUUUUCCAUGUGGGUGUGAUUUUGUUUAGUGAAGGGAAGUACAAAUUCUGGCAUGGGAAAGGACUCCUGAGAUGUUUGGAAAGCAGGUGCCAGUGUGUUGGGCACCUCUUGAACAAGUGUUCCUCUCGAAAGGGCAGCAAGGAUGAGUGAACUGCAGUAAGAAAAUGCAGUGGGCUCAAGGCUCCUCUGGCUACAUGCUUGAGCCAAGAGGGCACUGGUGACAUAAAGUGAACGUGUUUCUUGCAGUUGGUAGUGCAGUGAAGUGGUCCUUUGCCUGUGAGCAGGGGGCUAGAACCGUGCUCAGGUGAGCUCAGGUGUGCUGAGAGGGUCUGGGCACAGUUGGUGCAGGUUGGCUCAGGGUGCCAGGAGGGACCUGGAGCUCCUGUUGCUGCUUUCAGGGAGCAGGACAUGGUGAAACCCCAUCUCUCCCUGCCCAGUCUCUCUGCUGUAGAACAGGUCUGCUCUAGCUCAGACUCCAGGCAGCUGUGCUGGAGUCCUUGGCCUUUGCUCACCUCCAGCAAAGCCUCUUUAAAAACCUUCUGCUGCUGCUGUCUGCAGUCAUUCAACAUCUACUUUUUUCUAACUAGACUUUUAAAAAUUAUUUUAAAAGAAAGGCCUUAUCAGAGUAUUUAUAUAUUUUUAUGGCUGUGUUAAUAUUGACUAAGUAAAGACUGAGCUCUAAAGUAUAGGAGUUUGCUAUUUUCAAGUAACUAAGGGCUGUCUCAUCAGGAAAUUGAUGUAAGAUGUAAUGCUAGAGGCAUUAAGAGAAGACAGCAGUUCCACCAGUGUGUUCAGGUGUUUGUUCUGACUGUGCAUGGGGAGUCCUGGGGGUUUGACAGUGUGGAAUCCACCCCAGAGAAACAGCCCAACCUUGGUGUGGUGAGGGCAGAGCUGUGUAUCUGUGCUCUGUUUGUGGAGCAUUUGUAUUGACAUUGUAUCAAGAUAAAUCUUUCAAUGCAUGUGUUCUACAGUUAUUUAUUAAAAAAUGUCCUAUCCCUGUG